rnacentral:rRNA from 1 species
GAUGAACGCUGGCGGCGUGCCUAAUACAUGCAAGUCGAGCGAACAGACGAGGAGCUUGCUCCUCUGACGUUAGCGUCGGACGGGUGAGUAACACGUGGAUAACCUACCUAUAAGACUGGGAUAACUUCGGGAAACCGGAGCUAAUACCGGAUAAUAUAUUGAACCGCAUGGUUCAAUAGUGAAAGACGGUUUUGCUGUCACUUAUAGAUGGAUCCGCGCCGCAUUAGCUAGUUGGUAAGGUAACGGCUUACCAAGGCAACGAUGCGUAGCCGACCUGAGAGGGUGAUCGGCCACAAUGGAACUGAGACAAGGUCCAGACUCCUAAGGGAGGCAGCAGUAGGGAAUCUUCCGCAAUGGGCGAAAGCCUGACGGAGCAACGCCGCGUGAGGGAUGAAGGUCUUCGGAUCGUAAAACUCUGUUAUUAGGGAAGAACAAAUGUGUAAGUAACUAUGCACGUCUUGACGGUACCUAAUCAGAAAGCCACGGCUAACUACGUG